GUCAGAUUGUACUGGGAUCCCAACCAAAGUCAGUCCUCUCUCCGCCCCUCUAGUCCCUCCCCACUUCAUGCUUGCUUUUAAGAUUUUUAACAGUUCCCUGCACACUGAGAGAGGCUUGGAAAUGGAGGUGAGAUUUUUGCUUGUGGUGUGUGUGUGUGUGUGUGUGUGUGUGUGUGUGUGUGUGUGUGUGUGUGUGUGUAAGUGUGUGUAUUGUAGUCCAAUAAGAUUCACAGGAAACCCACAAAUCUUUAAGGAACAUUUACUGAAGUGCUGAUAACGUUGGACCAGUCAGGACCUAGGAGGUUGUAUGGAUUCUCUUCGCUCUGCAGGCAGGAGCUUGCCUAGGGGGCUUUCUAACGAGGGGUGGGGUUUGUCGCCCCCUCCUGCUCUGACUGGGGAAUGGCAGUGUCUCAGGCUUUGCAAGGCUCACCGGGGAGACCAGAGGUGGUCAACCAGCACCAAGUGGGCCUCCUCUGCCAUCAAAGGAGUGCUUGGGCUGGCUGCAGCCUCGGUUUCCCAACUCUGGUGGACGCCUCGCCCUUUCCAGACGAAGCAGGUUGGUCGACGGUUCUGAGGAAUAAGGAAAGGAGUGGAGAAGGGUGGAAGAAAGAAGAACCCACAAAGUAGCAAAGGCCACAGAGGACUCAAUCUCCUUUCACUGUGGGUCAUGGGAGUCAAACCCAAGUUGUUCCGCCUUUGUGGUGAGCCUCUUUUCUCCUACUCCCUGAUCAGUCUUGUCAGCCAUCUUUAUUUAGUUUUUUGAGUUGCAGCUAGAGGCAGGAUGUAAAGAAUCAUGGAGAAGGUUUGAGGCUUCAUCACAGUGUUCUAUUACCCCAGGGAGACAACCCAAGCAGAGACAAUGUUUUCUUUCCUCCAUGAAAGUGGGAUUCUUCAGAAUUUCAUUUUUCAAGCAUCCAUGAGAGAAAGCGCCUCCCUGCAGCUUCCAGCGGCCUUCAACCUGGACACUCCCUCCGGAGUCCACGCAGGAGCCCAUGACCAGGUCUUUCAGCAAGGCCAACUCCAGGCUCUGUGAGAUGUUCGCAUAUGGGGGUUGCAGCGGGGAGGAGGAUCACUCCACUUGGGGGAAAAUGGGUUUAAGGAAGCAGAACCCAGAAUAAGGUUGGGAGUGGCUGGAGGGGAAGGCCUAGGAAGAGAGAUGGAGUCUAACCAGAUUCACAGUUCACACCUGCACGCUUUGUCACUCAGACAUCAACUGAAGCUCUCCUAUCUGGGAUGAGGAAGUGGUCUUGUGACCUGUGAAGCUAUCAACUUCGACAGCCAGGCAGGAAGCCAGCUCCAGACGUGAUUAGAGCCAUCUCCCCAACAUCAUCAGAACCUGCAUGAGAGCCAUCUCGACAUCUUCCUGCACAGGACAUCUGCCAUGCUACCAAGUCUUUCUGAUCCAGGACUGGAUUCUUCCAUGUCCGCUCCGAGGGCCACAGUUGCUCAUUUCUGGAGUGGUCUAGGUCCUAGACAUCCUGGACUGAUCUUCCAGGCAUGCAGGGUCCGGGUCAAAGGCGUCAUAGCCACACAUUUCUUUCUCUUGCGGAGACCUUGACAUCUGUGUUGCCAUAGAUACAGAAGCACAAGUCCUUAGGCCUGGGCUGUGGCUGUCUUCUGCAAGGUCCAACCCUUUCUGUCUCCCUCUCAAACUGUCCUUCAUCGAAGACCCCAUCUUUCUAUCUUU